rnacentral:rRNA from 1 species
UUCCGGUUGAUCCCGCCGGACCUGACUGCUAUCGGAUUGAUACUAAGCCANGCGAGUCAUUGUAGCAAUACAAGGCAGACGGCUCAGUAACACGUAGUCAAUCUACCCUAUGGACGGGGAUAACCUCGGGAAACUGAGAAUAAUACCCGAUAGAUCAUUAUGCCUGGAAUGGUUUAUGGUCCAAAUGAUUUAUCGCCAUAGGAUGGGACUGCGGUCUAUCAGCUUGUUGGUGAGGUAAUGGCCCACCAAGGCUAUAACAGAUACGGGCUCUGAGAGGAGAGGCCCGGAGAUGGGUACUGAGACACGGACCCAGGCCCUAUGGGGCGCAGCAGGCGAGAAAACUUUGCAAUGUGCGAAAGCACGACAAGGUCAAUCCGAGUGGUUCCUGCUAAAGGAAUCUUUUGUCAGUCCUCAACAAACACUGACGAAUAAUGGGUGGGCAAGUUCUGGUGUCAGCCGCCGCGGU